UACGGAGGUUGCAAGCGUUGUUCGGAAUUACUGGGCGUAAAGGGAGCGCAGGCGGUCGGGUAAGUCUGAAGUGGAAGCCCGGGGCUCAACCCCGGAAGUGCUUUGGAUACUGCCUGACUUGAGUACGCGAGAGGAAAGCGGAAUUCCAGGUGUAGCGGUGAAAUGCGUAGAUAUCUGGAGGAACACCGGUGGCGAAAGCGGCUUUCUGGCGCGUUACUGACGCUGAGGCUCGAAAGCGUGGGGAGCAAACGGG
rnacentral:rRNA from 1 species